UACGAAGGGGGCUAGCGUUGUUCGGAAUUACUGGGCGUAAAGCGCACGUAGGCGGAUUUGUAAGUCAGGGGUGAAAUCCCGGGGCUCAACCUCGGAACUGCCUUUGAUACUGCAAGUCUCGAGUCCGAUAGAGGUGAGUGGAAUUCCUAGUGUAGAGGUGAAAUUCGUAGAUAUUAGGAAGAACACCAGUGGCGAAGGCGACUUACUGGACGAUUGUUGACGCUGAGGUGCGAAAGCGUGGGGAGCAAACAGG
rnacentral:rRNA from 1 species